GACGAACGCUGGCGGCGCGCCUAACACAUGCAAGUCGAACGAGAGAGAGGAAGCUUGCUUCCUCAAUCGAGUGGCGAACGGGUGAGUAACGCGUGAGGAACCUGCCUCAAAGAGGGGGACAACAGUUGGAAACGACUGCUAAUACCGCAUAAGCCCACGGGUCGGCAUCGACCAGAGGGAAAAGGAGCAAUCCGCUUUGAGAUGGCCUCGCGUCCGAUUAGCUGGUUGGUGAGGUAAUGGCCCACCAAGGCGACGAUCGGUAGCCGGACUGAGAGGUUGAACGGCCACAUUGGGACUGAGACACGGCCCAGACUCCUACGGGAGGCAGCAGUGGGGAAUAUUGCACAAUGGGGGAAACCCUGAUGCAGCGACGCCGCGUGGAGGAAGAAGGUCUUCGGAUUGUAAACUCCUGUUGUUGAGGAAGAUAAUGACGGUACUCAACAAGGAAGUGACGGCUAACUACGUGCCAGCAGCCGCGGUAAAACGUAGGUCACAAGCGUUGUCCGGAAUUACUGGGUGUAAAGGGAGCGCAGGCGGGAAGACAAGUUGGAAGUGAAAUCUAUGGGCUCAACCCAUAAACUGCUUUCAAAACUGUUUUUCUUGAGUAGUGCAGAGGUAGGCGGAAUUCCCGGUGUAGCGGUGGAAUGCGUAGAUAUCGGGAGGAACACCAGUGGCGAAGGCGGCCUACUGGGCACCAACUGACGCUGAGGCUCGAAAGUGUGGGUAGCAAACAGAAUUAGAUACCCUGGUAGUCCACACCGUAAA
rnacentral:rRNA from 1 species